GUAUUAAGUUAUUUGGCAGUUGAGAUUACAAGAAUAUUGACUUUCCCUGUCUGGGAUGGGGCUUACUUUGGUUUCCUCUUGUGUAGGCAGAGAGCUAAGGGGAAGGAUUGGCUGGGAGUCAUGGCAGUCCCAGAUUCCCCCACUCGGUGAGCUGUGCUGAUUGACUAGCCUGCCGUAGGCUGCUUUGCUUCUGAAGGAUUCUGAAGGGGUUUGGCUGAGCCCGCCUGGGAUGUGGAGAGGGUAAAAUUCUGCCCACCUUCUGCUCUCCGCAGGUACAAUAUAUUGUGCCACUCUGAUAGGGCAGCAGGGAGAGCCUUCCAGAGGAGCAGCCAGCUGGCAUUGCCCAUCUGAGCUUCUUGGACUUUGCCUAGCAGUGGAGGCUUAGUGCGGAAUGCCCAGCAGGUGGCAGUGCUGCUCUGUGGCUGCAGAGGACUGUGCUGGUUGGGGGAAAGCCAGCCAGAGCAGAAAGGGAGCUGCUGGAGUGCUCCUAACCACUCAGCCAGAGGUUGCUUGCCUUGACUCCCAUCUGAGAUACCAAAGAACUGAGCCAAUGUUAUUUGAAGUUGAUGCUGAUGCUGCUUUCAGCAUGCAGACCCCUGUGGUGUGGCUCAGGUCUUUGUCUCCAGCAAGAUCAAUUGGGGUUUCUGUUUACUUUUGUUCUUAAUGUGUGUAGCUGAACUGCAUUCUUCGAGGUGGACCUUUGCAAAUGGGUUUCUGCUGCCAGGAGAGGGAAGCCCAGCUGGGACACCCUCAUCAUAGGCUGCAGACUCUCACCUCGAUGAGUGCCCCUCUGGUCCCCCCCCCCAUGUUCUCCAACCAUAUGAGGAGGCAAAAGAGUGAGGGGCAUCCUGUAUUCUUUCAAGGUGGGCCCUUGCUGGUUUCCUCUGGGCACCUGAUGGUUGUAUGUUAGGUGGUAGGCUUUGGUGAUCCAGGCUGAUGAUCCUGCAGAGCCCUGUUUACUUGGUAUGAUACACACCAUUAGAAUCUCCUGCAUUCUCCACACCAGUAUUAUAUAAGGCAGAAGGAGAAAGGAGGGAUCUGAAAUGCAUUUUGGGGCAGACAUCCCAGCUGCCUCUGUCCUGGAAGUGUGCCUGCCCACUUGUGGCAGGUGUUCAAUCCCACCUACAGCAAGAAAGCUGUAGCUCAGCAACCCAGGAUUAGGUGCAGGGAGGUUUGCUUCCUAGACAAGGCAUGCAAAGUCUUUGCUAAGGUCGGUCCCUCCUUUCCUCUUUCGGCCCUCAAUCUUGCAGAGAGUCGCCCUGCUCAUCUCACACCUGGGGCAGUAUUUUUUCCUGCAACCUCAUCCAAUCCCUACAGGGUUUUGUGAGGGUGAAAGGCUGCAGAGGAGCAUGAGAAGAGCCUGGAGGCUGGAUCUAACCAAAGGCUGCCCAUCUAGUCUUGCACUCUUAUUUCGCAAGGCCCAAAUGAGCCCAAAAGCAGGACCUGAGUGCAAGAGCACUUCCCUGCCCCGUCUGAUCCCCCCAAUAAUUGGAAUUCAGAAACAUGCUCCCAUCUCUGAGCCUGGAGAUGAUGCAGCCAGUGUGAGCAGUAGCAUUUGGUAACGUCUUCCUCCCUGAGUAGGCAUUCUAAGAGCCAUUUGUAGGAAGGUGAUUCUCAUGCCCCUAUCUCUAGCAGGUCAGCAUGGAGCUUUCGGAGCCAAGGGGUCGCUGGAGGCUUGUUGCCAGGUUCUCCUUACCUCGUCAAAAGAGGUGCUCAGCCCCCCCCACCAACCCAAUUUCUUUGGACUUGGGGUCAUCUUGGCCAGCUCUGGCAUAAUUCAUGCUUGGAAUGUGGAAAAGGCUUCCAUAAGGUCCUCCAGACCCUUCCUGCUGCAGAUAGAAGCCCAGAAAAGUGCCUAGAUUGGCAACCAGGGCUGCUGUACAGAUCUCUCUUCUCUUCCAGUGUCCCUGGGACAAUGCUCUGAGUGCUGAGGCACCCAUACCUGCAGCUCUUUUGCUGCAGGACUUUCCUGUAUUUCUCAACCCUGGUGAAGUCUGGAGUGGGAAGCAUGGGGUGGGGUCUCUGAGCCCCCAGCGCCUGCCUGGAGGGAUCUGUGGGGGAGAGAAGCAGCUGGGGAUAAUUAUAGUAACAGGAACUGAACAGGCAGGUUUCUGGGAGCUGGAAGCUCCUUCCUCCCUCCCCGUCUCCCUGCUGGGUGAUGGUGCAGCUGGGCUCCAGGUGACUCAGUGUGUGGCAAAGGGUGGUGGAGCCCUCUUGGGAAAUAACCUACUUGCUUGUGCCACAGCCGGGCAGAGAGCCAGCUGCCCGCUUGCUGCCCUGAGCCCGGGCUGCUUGGGGGCCACUUGCCUGGGCUUCUGGGUGGCUGAUCGGGGGAAACCAAGAGUGUUUGCCUAUCCUUGCUCUCUGAAUUUGGCCUCCCUCAGAGGUGUGUGAAGAUAGGUAUGUUUGUGGAGAAGAGAGCCCUGCAGGCUUCUUUUUAAAUCCUCUCUGCAAGCCUGCAGAUUGAUCAAGAGUUUGUCCCAGAGCAGCAGCAGCCUUCUCUCUGUCAGAUAGGAGGCAACUGAGCACCUUGGCUGCAAUCCCACUGGGCUAAUUCAAGCUGAAGCUUUUCUGCCUGCCUGCACCCUGCAUAGAGUAGGGAGCUGUCCUAGACCACCAUGCAAGCCCAUCUCACUCAGCCUUGCUUUCACUGGGACCGGCUGCGAAUCUCCAUGGUUUCAGGCAAUGUCUUGCUGAAAGGAAGGGGAGAGGUCAGGGUUUGAACUUGGGACUUUUUGCAUGUAGUUUGAUAUAUUCCAGAGUGGCUUCUGACAAAGAGCAACCCAAUUGCACUUUCGUAUCCAUUGCCACUGCUAGGAGCAGCUAGCCUGCGUCUUGGGCACAGCUGUCAACAUGAGGCUUCCCGCGGUUUGAACAUGGGCUGUCACUCCUUCACAGGAAGUCAUGGCAUUGGCAUGGUUGGAGCUUCACGCUGGGUCCUUGGCAAGGGGCCUUUGGUGCCUCGUUGUGCUUGAGGAGUCCUCAGAGAAGGAGGUGGUUCAAGGUAGCCUCUGCUUCUAUCCCAGGCAGGUCAGGGCAGUUAAUAACAGCUGCCACAGUGUGCCAGGAACGUAUUGACAAGUCUUCCCUUGAACCAUUGCUGCAGCGCCUUCCAGCCCCAGCUGCUUUGAAAGCCAGUCCCUGGCACAGAGCAGGAGGAGAACAUAAGAGCCUGCUGAAUCAGGCCAGUGGCCCAUCUAGGCCAGCAUCCUGUUCUCACGGUUCUUAACCAGAUGCCCCAAAGGGAAACCAGCAAACAGGACUCUGAGCACAAGGGCAGUUUUUCCCCUCCUGAGGUGUCCAGCAGCUGGUAUUCAGAAGCAUUGCUGCCUCUCCUAACUGUGGAGGCAGAGCAUAGCCAUGGCAGCUAGUAGUCAUUGAUAACAUCCUCCAUGAAAUUGUCUAGUAGUCAUUGAUAACCUCCUCCAUGAAUUUGUCUAUAACCUUUUAAAGCCAUUCAGGUUGGUGGCGAUCACUGUCUCCUGUGGGAGCGAGUUCCAUAGUUUAACUUGUGUGCUGCGUGAAGAAGCAUGGGUCAGCCAAAUCCAGCCUGGGGGCUUCUGUGGAGUUUCAGGGCAGAAUUACUGAGCAGCCCAAAGAAGUGGCAUGGGGAAAUAAUUUUGCUGGUGGAGAGGACCAAGCAGUCAAACCAGUCGCACACACACCUGCACUUGAAAGCCCCAUGGAUGGGCUGCCCUGGACACCCUGCCAGGAGCCCCAGCCCCCAGUCAACCCUCUCCGCUGCUCUUCUGGGAGGGGCGAGCAGUUUCCUCAUGCAUUGUCAUGAGCUGGGGGCAGGGGGACAGGCAGGCUUUCUUCUUAGUCAGAGCUGGAGCCGAGGUCUGUUUUGGCUGCUCAUCAGCAUCAGGGAACUGUGUCCCUGCGAGGUUUGAUACAAUUUAAUUAACCUAAUUAAAAGCUCUGAUUGCAGAGAUGAUUGGGGUAGAGCCAGCAGCAACUGCAUAUUUAUAAUGAGCUGGAAGGUGUGGGACCUCCGCCAAGCGAUAUGCAUCUCUAAUGAGCUGCUGCUGGUGCGAUCUGAGCGCGCCUUUGGAACGUGAACAUUUAUUUUUGGCAACGGCGGGCAGUUUAUCGCCAAGACGCGGAGGGAGGGAGCCUCCUUCCUUCCCAGCUCCAGGCGUGGCUCUCCCACUCCCAGCCCCCUUGACAGACACAGACGCAGCCUUGCCAAGGUGCAAAGGCAGGCAGGCAGGCAGGCAAGCAAACAAACACCCACCCUGCGUGCAAACCUGAGCCCAGAGAGAGAAUCAGAGAGAUGCACCCAGGCUCCUUCCCUCUCAGUCAUUCAUAAAACCCAGCACAUACUCCAUGCUCCUGGCCUCAUGCAGCCCACCCUCUGAGCCCUGCUGGUACAUGCAGUGUCUACACCCAUCCACCCCAGCUGCCCAAAUAUCUCCCUACUGUCUAAGUAGCCUCUCCAUGCCCUUUUGGGGGAGCUCCCGCAAGGCCUGGCUCUUUCUCCAGCCUCUGACUGAAAGAGACUCUCAGUCCACCGAGACCAGGAUAGGCUUUGGAGAGCCACUGUGGUGUAGUGUUAGACUAGGAUCUGGGAGACCAGGGUUCAAAUCCCCACCUGAGUCGUGAAACUCACUUGGGUGACCUUGGUGGCCAGUCAGUGCCUCUCAGCCUAACCUACCUCACAGGGUUGUUGUAGUAAUUAGGUGAGAAGGAGGACCAAAGGGAAUCCUGCCUGCCCCACUACCUGAGUGAGUUUUAACCUUCUUCCAUGCAUAGCUGGAGCACCUUCCCACCAGUUUGGACCCAGAGCGGUGGCUGAUCCAUGCCAGGCUGUUGCUGGGAGGCAAGGGGACAAGAUGGUCAGUGAAGGAACACCCACACACCCCUCCUUCCAAACUGCAUUAGUUCCUCUGCACAGCAAGGAAGCUUCCUCAGAGACCCCACUGUGAGAUCUAGUUUAUCUGCAGUGGACAGGACAGGCCUGGCCUGGUCACAGGGGAGAAGGUCAGAAGAUAAAAUGAGGCAGAGGUGUGUAAAGGUGUGGGAGUCAAGCAGGGAGGUGGAGAGCUGUUUUGAUGUUGACCACUAUUUGUUGGCAGCUCCACUUCCAGGGAUUCAUCUUUCUGCAAGCACAGCACCAUCUUCAGGCACAUCCUCCAGGGAUUUUCUUUUCCUUUCUUUCGGACCAAAUGGGCCCUAUGGUGGCUUGCAAUCUUUAAAAAUGUAUCAGUAAAAAAUAAAAUGCAGAACUUGUUACACAUUUUUUUAAAUGUUAAAUUGGAGCUAACUAAAAUAAAUUCAGUGGAGGGGAGGAAAACACUCAAGGCUUGGUGAAAUAAACAUGUUUUUACAGUUU